UAACACAAAUAACCAUACAUGAACAUGAUGAAUUCAAACUUAAAGGAGUUUUACCAAGUGUCAAAAAAGAUUUUUCAAAAAUGUUCAUGAUGAAAAAGGAUGUGUGUAUUACCCAAUAUAUGAUUUUUCACCACUUUUUACAGUAGACAGUUUUUUUUAAGUGUUGAGGUCUGUAUUUAAUUAUUUUUUUUAAGUGUUGAGGUCUGUAUUUAAUCAUUUUUUUUAAGUGUUGAGGUCUGUAUUUAAUCAUUUUUUUAAGUGUUGAGGUCUGUAUUUAAUUAUUUUUUUUAAGUGUUGAGGUCUGUAUUUAAUCAUUUUUAUUAAGUGUUGAGGUCUGUAUUAAAUCAUUUUUUUAAGUGUUGAGGUCUGUAUUUAACCCUUUUUUUUUAGUGUUGAGGUCUGUAGUCUGUAUUUAAUCAUUUAUUAAGUGUUGAGGUCUUUAGAACGGGAAACCACAAGUUACCCAUCGAAACUGGUAGAUGGAAUAAAAUUGAACGUAACUAUAGAUAUUGUAAUUUAUGUCAUUGUAACGAGAUUGGGGAUGAAUUUCAUUACAUUUUGCAGUGUAGUUCUUUGACAAACUUUCGAGCACAAUAUUUGGAUACUUUUUUCUUGCACAGAAGUAAUAUACUAAAGUUUGGAAAACUAUUUCAGUUAAAAUCAAAAAAUAAGUUAAAAAAGCUGUGCAAAUUUAUCAGGGUUAUUACUUUUCAAGCAAGUCUUCCUGGUUAAUCACCACUCUUCGCCACUUCUGUGUUAUUUUGUUUUAUUUUAUUUUUUCUUCUCAUCUUGUCAUGUGUGUUUAUGUUAUGUUAUAACUUUUGAUGAACUUCUUUGUACCAUUGUAACUAUAUGGUGUUUGAGAAAUAAAGAAUCUUGAACCUUGAGGUCUGUAUUUAAUCAUUUUUUUUAAGUGUUGAGGUAUGUAUUUAAUCAUUUUUUUUAAGUGUUGAGGUCUGUAUUUAAUCUUUUUUUGAAGUGUUGAGGUCUGUAUUUAAUUAUUUUUUUUAAGUGUUGAGGUCUGUAGUUAAUCAUUUUUUUUAAGUGUUGAGGUCUGUAUUCAAUCAUUUUUUUAAGUGUUGAGGUCUGUAUUUAAUCAUUUUUUGGUCUCUGGGAUGCUGUCUCAUUGAUGUCUACCCCAUAUCUCCUUUUAUUUAAUCUUUCUUGUCCAGCUUUUUUUAUCUGUGCUGAUUUGAGGAUGUGCCCUUUGUUCAUUGUCACAUUUUCCUGCAAUAACAGCUGAACAGGGACACAAAUAGGAUACAUAUUUAAGUAAGUAAAGCUUAUUAGACUGAGACUACUAUAACACAGAGAUUGGUCACUUCCCGUACUGACCAGUCAAAUAGUAAUUAAUUGUAAGUCUUCGAUCACGUGACUCGGCACGUGACUCGCAAUGAUUGACAAGAAGGAUUCGACCGGCAUUUUUGACAGCGAAAGAGAAAAUAAUAAUUAACAAAUGUGGAUUUAUAAAGAGUGUUAUGUUCCGGAAUACCCCCAGAAAGAAAUCACGCAUUAGAAGAAGGGAGAAGUACUACAGGAGAAAAUGACUUUUUUUAGUAUUUUUUUUAAUUUCAUUGAAUUUGUCAUGCUUGUCUUACAUGGAGAAACAAAUAUUUAAGUCUUUGAA